CCAAGGCUGCCCUCCCAGCCCCGCCGGCCCGAGCCCCCAUCUUACAGGGUUUUUUGGCAUCCUUGAUCUUCAUGGCGUCGGCUGAGGGGCGAGAGGCAGCCUCGAGUCCGGAGCACGGAGAGCAGUGGCGGCGACUCCGGAGGGGUUGGGGCCGCGCGCCUCUUUGAUAGUAUCAGCUUGGGAGUCAAAGGCAAAGUGAGACAUGUACGUUGUGAUAGGCUGGUCAUGGUCUGAGAGGAAGGAGAGCUAGAAAUGAGAAGCCAUGGGAAUUUAGCCUGUCCUCAAGACCAUUCCCAGAAGAGUAAAUGCAGGAGCUGGAAAGAACAUUUAAAGGGGCCAAGAGACUGUCUUCCUGUCUCAUAUUUAUUGUCUACAAAAUGCAAUAAAUCCAGCCCAUCAUGCAA